rnacentral:rRNA from 1 species
AGCGAACGCUGGCGGCAGGCUCAACACAUGCAAGUCGAACGCCCCGCAAGGGGAGUGGCAGACGGGUGAGUAACACGUGGGAACGUACCCUUUGGUUCGGAAUAACUUGGGGAAACUCAAGCUAAUACCGGAUAAGCCCUUAUGGGGAAAGGUUUACUGCCGAAGGAUCGGCCCGCGACUGAUUAGCUAGUUGGUGAGGUAAUGGCUCACCAAGGCGACGAUCAGUAGCUGGUCUGAGAGGAUGAUCAGCCACACUGGGACUGAGACACGGCCCAGACUCCUACGGGAGGCAGCAGUGGGGAAUAUUGGACAAUGGGGGCAACCCUGAUCCAGCCAUGCCGCGUGAGUGAUGAAGGCCUUAGGGCUGUAAAGCUCUUUUACCCGGGACGAUAAUGACUGUACCGGGAGAAUAAGCCCCGGCUAACUUCGUGCCAGCAGCCGCGGUAACAC